rnacentral:rRNA from 1 species
UACGUAGGGGGCGAGCGUUGUCCGGAAUCAUUGGGCGUAAAGAGCGUGUAGGCGGACUGGAAGGUCUGGUGUGAAAGCCCGGGGCUCAACCCCGGAGGGUCACUGGAAACCAACAGUCUUGAAUCUGGAAGAGGAGAGUGGAAUUCCUGGUGUAGCGGUGGAAUGUGCAGAUAUCAGGAGGAACACCAAUGGCGAAGGCAGCUCUCUGGUACAUGAUUGACGCUGAGACGCGAAAGCGUGGGGAGCGAACAGG